rnacentral:rRNA from 1 species
CUACGGGAUGCAGCAGUGAGGAAUAUUGCACAAUGGGGGGAACCCUGAUGCAGCAACGCCGCGUGGAGGAUGACGCAUUUCGGUGUGUAAACUCCUUUUAUAUGUCAAGAAAAUGACGGUAGCAUAUGAAUAAACACCGGCUAACUCCGUGCCAGCAGCCGCGGUAAUACGGAGGGUGCAAGCGUUACUCGGAAUCACUGGGCGUAAAGGACGCGUAGGCGGGUUGGAAAGUCAGGUGUGAAAUCCUACAGCUUAACUGUAGAACUGCACUUGAAACUUCUAAUCUAGAGUAUGGGAGGGGGAGAUGGAAUUAGUGGUGUAGGGGUAAAAUCCGUAGAUAUCACUAGGAAUACCUAAAGCGAAGGCGAUCUCCUGGAACAUUACUGACGCUAAGGCGUGAAGGCGUGGGGAGCAAACAGGAUUAGAUACCCCGGUAGUC